CAGCCGCCGCGGGAAUACAGAGGGUGCGAGCGUUAAUCGGAUUUACUGGGCGUAAAGCGUGCGUAGGCGGCUUUUUAAGUCGGAUGUGAAAUCCCUGAGCUUAACUUAGGAAUUGCAUUCGAUACUGGGAAGCUAGAGUAUGGGAGAGGAUGGUAGAUUUCCAGGUGUAGCGGUGAAAUGCGUAGAGAUCUGGAGGAAUACCGAUGGCGAAGGCAGCCAUCUGGCCUAAUACUGACGCUGAGGUACGAAAGCAUGGGGAGCAAACAGGAUUAGAUACCCCAGUAGUCCCUGUCUCUUAUAC
rnacentral:rRNA from 1 species